AGAGCGGGGUUGGAGCGCGGGGCAGGCACUGAGAGGGCCGGCGCGGGGCGCGGACCGGCUGCACGAUGUUCAGCUGGAUGGGGCGGCAGGCGGGCGGGCGCGAGCGCGCGGGAGGCGCCGACGCGGUGCAGACGGUGACUGGCGGCCUGCGCUCGCUCUACCUGCGCAAGGUGCUGCCGCUGGAGGAGGCGUACCGCUUCCACGAGUUCCACUCGCCGGCGCUGGAGGACGCCGACUUCGAGAACAAGCCCAUGAUCCUGCUGGUGGGCCAGUACAGCACGGGCAAGACCACCUUCAUCAGGUAGCCCGCCCCGCCCGCUCGUCGCCCCUGCCGGCACCCCUGCUCCCACCACCCAGGUGGAGGCGGUCCUCCCCACGUGUGCGUGUGCUGUCACCAGCCUCCCACCGCCUCGGACGUCCUGCAGCGCCCACUCCCCCCGUGCGGAAUCCCCUCGCGGCCGUUUCCCCCUCCAGCAUCGGCGUCAGCUCAGGUUCCCCGUCCAAGCGCGGUGCCCGUGAGCCCUCAGCCUCGCCCCUGGGUGCGGCCGUCCAAGAAGGGGCUGCCUCUCCCCCUUGCAGGCAGGAAGGUCCCCGAAACCCCUUCUCCCUGUACUCUGAGCCCUCCUUCCUUG